rnacentral:misc_RNA from 1 species
UCCGACUUCACGUCGGCAGUCUCGUUUGAGUGCCCGGCCGAACCGCUGGCAACUAACGACAAGGGUUGCGCUCGUUGCGGGACUUAACCCAACAUCUCACGACACGAGCUGACGACAGCCAUGCAGCACCUUCUCACCGGCUCCCCGAAGGGCACCCCCUCAUCUCUGAGAGGUCCCGGUGGAUUUAACCCAGGUAAGGUUCUUCGCGUUGCGUCGAAUUAAACCACAUGCUCCGCUGCUUGUGCGGGUCCCCGUCAAUUCCUUUGAGUUUAAGCCUUGCGGCCGUACUCCCCAGGCGGUCAACUUCACGCGUUAGCUUCGUUACCAAGGAAUUACUUCCCCGACAACCAGUUGACAUCGUUUAGGGCGUGGACUAC